AAUUUUGACCUUAAUGUAUUUUUUCAGGCCUUUUUCGUGAUCUUUGCUAUAUUACGGGGCAAAAAUUAAAUGUUCGGACAUUAUUUUUGAAUACUUUGCGUUUAUCAAAGCUCAUAUAGACAAGAUAGGGUAUUCCUACAUAGCUGGUGGUACCCACGGCAAAUAGAUCAUAAAGUCUUCAAAAAAUAAUAGAUAGAAUUGCAUUGCAUGUAUUAACAGCUGCGAUCAUACCAGCACUAAUGAACCGGAUCCCAUCAGAACUCCACAGUUAAGCGUGCUUGGGCGAGAGUUGUUCUAGGAAGGAUGACCUCUAGGAAAGUCCUCGUGUUCCAUCCCUCUUUUGUUUCGGUUUUUCUCUUUUUUUUUG
rnacentral:sRNA from 1 species